CUGCGAGUUCGCGGGAGAGUAAGUUAUUGCCAGGGUUUUUAUUUUAUACUUUAAACAUUGAUUUUAUUUUUUAUGUUUUUAGAUGUUCAUGUUUUUGAAUGUUUUAUUCGAAUAAUAUAAAAAAUAAAAUAUAUAUUGACAUGGAUUAAACAAAGAUAUAUAUUAUUCUAUGUUGUAUAAACAAAUUGGCAAAAUAGAGAUGGAAGAUAAAAAUAUGGUCAAAGUAAUAAGAGUCUAUGGUGAAUGCCUA
rnacentral:misc_RNA from 1 species